UCGUUUAAAACUAGAAUUAGUUGAUGAAGGAGCAUAAUGCAGAUCAUACGUUGUACGUGUACGUGGUGUGAUCAUUAUAAUUUCGCGCUAUUUCUUGUUUCUACACUCGCUUUGAACUUUGGCUUUAACAGCAGUUAUCGACUUUGCUGUAUUACAUAGUGUACUUGGUACAUAAUUUAUCAAAAGGGCUCGUGUUACUUUAAAGUUUAACAUCACUUUUGAAUUUCACGAAAGCAGAUAAAAGGUGAAGCUAAAACAUAAAAGCGCUGAAAGACCAAGAAGCAUCUCCUAAAGAGCUGUUGAAUCAGCACGCUGAAGAAGUACAGAGACUGGCGAACAAGCUGGGCGCCGAUAAACUCAGACAGCAGCAAACACUUCAAUUUAGAAUUCUACAAAAUAAGAAAUCUUUCUGAAGCAGCUAGUCCUAGGUGGACGCAAAGAAUUAGGAAGCUUCCAGUAUCGAAGAUUGCCCUCAUCUACGCUGAGCAGGAAGCUGUACAACAACCGGUCUGACAAGUUACAAGUGGUGGACCUACAUCAUCUAGAAUCUAGAUGUACAGUUAACAACUCUACCUCGAUUCGAUGCAGUGGGAGAGGUUGAAGUUGACGUUCGAGCAGUCACCCUGGCGAACAAGAAAUCUUUCAGGCCAAGAGGUUAGGUGACUAGAAACUCAAUCACUAUAUCCGUGAAACUUGUCGGGAGCACUGUUAUUUGUGGAGGUCGGACCGAAACUGUAAUCAGACACUAAACAUUGACGAGGACCAAUUACUCUACUCCUUCAAUGAUUAAUAAAGAUCGCUGAUUGCUUUAACUAAUGCAUAGUGUUAAAAUGAAAGAGAAAUUGUUGAGACGAAAGAGAAAAAGGCACUCAUUUAUUUAUAGUUUUAUGUCUUGACAAUGAUAUUCGAAAGCUAAUUUUAAAAACUGGCUCUGAACCCUUGCUAAAUGAUUUAGGAAGGUGUACGGGAUAAAUAUGCCUGUAGACAUCAUUUUCAGUGGGUUUUAUGAAGUUUAUGAUUAGGGUAUAUUUUGGGACUGAAAUAAGCGCAAGACCUUCGACGUUUCUAUUGCUACUGUUUUUUUAAUUUAGCAAAUAUACAAACAAAUUUUAUACUGUCGUAAAGAUAAAAUAUUUAGUUAUCGGAUAGAGACUUGAAAAUUAAGUAUUACAAUAACCAAGCUAAAAUAUUCAAUGU